AACGGGAAGGAUAAGGCUAAAACACCCCAACUCUUUUUUUUAGAGGUCAGCAGACUCAGCCUCCCUACCCCGUGUUUUCUCGCCUGGCAUUAACAUCAGUUUUAAGAUCUGCUUGAGACAAGCAACGGUUGCAUUCGCCAUCACCAGAAACCAAGAGGAAAGGGGUGGAAAGGAAAAGAAAGAGGGAGGGGCAAAAUGGAGAAAAAAAAAAAAAAAAGGUUUUUUCUUUCUUGCAAUCUCAUAAUCAGGCGAUUUGCCCCCCCCGAAAGGCGCAAGCGAGCCCCCGGCAGGUAGCCCUGCCCAAGCCACUCGCCCGCUGGUUGGGGCCGCAGCGCUGGGGAGCUGGUUUCUCCUGGAGAGCCCUGCAGCAUGACCACCCCCUUGCUAAAAAUAACUCGGUAAAUCAAAUUUAAAAAAAAUCACAGCGGCUCCGAUCAUUUCUGCAAGUGGGAGCCAAUAAACUCAGGCCUUUCCUUCUUAACCUAGAGCCAGGCGCAGAUAUUGCACAUUGCCAUGUGCAUAACCUAUUUAAAGAAUUUAUAUGCGUCAUAAGGCAAAGGUGACUUUCCCCCCCUCUUCCUCGCAGCCCACCACGCUGCAAGAUGAUACUGGGGAAAAGCACCUGCGCUUAAAACCGCUGCACGCAGAAAUAUUGCAAGUGGGCCAGCGUUAUAGCUCCCCAAGAAAUACAGGCUUUGCGCUGUAACGGUACCUUUUCAAGAGACAAUCCCGCCAAGGAACUAAAUGAAAACGUAGACAGCGGACACCAGGAAGUAUUAAAUUCAUGCUUUGCCGAGAAAUAGCAGCCCACGGUAUCGGCUGGAGAUUGCUGUAACCCACCGGGGCUCGUAGCCUCCUGGCAGGGCGAGCACAGCUCCCCAGCAGCCCGCGUACCGCCAGGCUGGGCUCUGGGGCUCUACAACCCG